rnacentral:misc_RNA from 1 species
GGGAAAUUGGUCAAGGUUUGGAGUACUUUUUUGAUAUUUUUUAGUGUUUUUAUCUUCACUUGGUGUCAGUGCCUAGCCUUACAUUUCCAUUUGUUUGAUUAAAUAGUCGAAAGGGAUUACGUUGCUACAGUUGUCAUGGAUUAGUUUUUGAAUCUAGAAUACGGCUCUAUGUUACCAUUUUCACUUCACUUGCAGUUUUCUUGUAUAUGAACUGUCUUAUUUUCUCUCUUUACACGUACCAGAACUACUGAAUUGUGGAACCUUCUUCAGUUUUUUACCAGGAAAAGGCCCAAAAGAUAUACCCCUAUCAUUUGUGAUGUAUUU